rnacentral:tRNA from 1 species
AAACUUAUAGUAUACCAGUACGGAUGGCUUCCAACUAUCAAGGCCUCACGGGAAAGUUUA